CGCAAAGGUGCAACAGUGGGCCCGAAACCAGUGCCUAGCUGCUGACCACUGUCCCGUCUCUGUUGCAAGACAAUAUUAGGUAGCCACUGAGCCCUGUUCUUUUGUCUUAUGGAAGCCACAGAGGGGCACCGAGCGGCGCACAAGACUGGUAAGCUUGGAGUUGGAAUCCCGCUCUGCUGCUGCCCCACUGUCCUCCAUUGCUGCCCACAAGGCAACCUGUUCCAAAGGCAGCAUGUCAUGUAGCUCAAGGUCAUUCGAGGAUUAAAUGGAGUCAUUAAAAGCCUGCAAUUUGUGGUGUUGAGAAGAUAUUCAGCAUGGCUGACAAACUUGAUGCUUCAAAAA